GACUCGAUAGCUCAAUUGGUAGAGAGUUGUCAGCCCGGUUCUGGUUGAAUAUGCGAGUUCAAAUCUCGCUUCAGUCA
rnacentral:tRNA from 1 species